rnacentral:tRNA from 1 species
AUUUCUGUAGUGUAGUGGUUAGCACAUUUGUCUAACAUGUAAAAGGUCUCUGCUUCAAAACCAGGCAGGAACA